GACGAACGCUGGCGGCGUGCUUAACACAUGCAAGUCGAACGAUGAAGCCGGAGCUUGCUCCGGUGGAUUAGUGGCGAACGGGUGAGUAACACGUGAGCAAUCUGCCCUUGACUCUGGGAUAACUGCGGGAAACUGUAGCUAAUACCGGAUACGACACCUUGGGGCAUCCCAGGGGGUGGAAAGAAUUUCGGUCAAGGAUGAGCUCGCGGCCUAUCAGCUAGUUGGUGAGGUAAUGGCUCACCAAGGCGACGACGGGUAGCCGGCCUGAGAGGGUGACCGACCACACUGGACCUGAGACACGGUCCAGACUCCUACGGGAGGCAGCAGUGGGGAAUAUUGCACAAUGGGCGAAAGCCUGAUGCAGCAACGCCGCGUGAGGGAUGAAGGCCUUCGGGUUGUAAACCUCUUUUAGCAGGGAAGAAGCGAAAGUGACGGUACCUGCAGAAAAAGCACCGGCUAACUACGUGCCAGCCGCCGCAGUAA
rnacentral:rRNA from 1 species